rnacentral:rRNA from 1 species
GAUGAACGCUGGCGGCGUGCCUAAUACAUGCAAGUCGAGCGAACGGACGAGAAGCUUGCUUCUCUGAUGUUAGCGGCGGACGGGUGAGUAACACGUGGAUAACCUACCUAUACGACUGGGAUAACUUCCGGAAACCGGAGCUAAUACCGGAUAAUAUUUUGAACCGCAUGGUUCAAAAGUGAAAGACGGUCUUGCUGUCACUUAUAGACGGAUCCGCGCUGCAUUAGCUAGUUGGUAAGGUAACGGCUUACCAAGGCAACGAUGCAUAGCCGACCUGAGAGGGUGAUCGGCCACACUGGAACGGAGACACGGUCCAGACACCGACGGGAGGCAGCAGUAGGGAAUCUUCCGCAAUGCGCGAAAGCCUGACGGAGCAACGCCGCGUGAGUGAUGAAGGUCUUCGGAUCGUAAAACUCUGUUAUUAGGGAAGAACAUAUGUGUAAGUAACUGUGCACAUCUUGACGGUACCUAAUCAGAAAGCCACGGCUAACUACGUG